CCCGCGCUCCCCGCCUACCGCUUAGUACGCUCGCGAGUCGACACAACUCACGACUUAAAACCGUAUCGAACAUUCCCCUCACGCGCCUCAAGCGUCGAUGUUGUGAUAUUUUAUUUAUAACAAAAUGUAUAACAAAACCUUUAUAAACAAAAGUGAAUCGUGAGUCGAGUGAGUUGCAACUUCAUCUUGCCAACGACGGAUUAACGGUACAAUAAAACCGGAUUAAUUACGAUUUAAGAUUAUAAUUUGAAAAUAUGCCAAGAAAGAAGGGAAUUAAAUGGACGAGGAUUUCAAAGAAAAAACAGCACGUGUGUACGUCUAAUUUGCGUAGCGUUGAAGAACCCUCAGGGCCAAUACAAAAUGAUCGUAAUGCGCAACCAGCUACAACAGACACACAUGGACAGCAUAUUAAUUUAAAAAAAUCUGUAGUAUACACCACAAGGCUUGAUGAAAUGAAAGUAGUAUUAAACCCUCAGACAGUGACUGACCAUACGAAAUUUUUGAGCAAGUAUUUGCCGAAAGCAAACCUAAAGCCACCGAUGAUUCCCUAAAACAUGCAAUGAGCCGUCAUAGACACAGUGACGGACCUAUGGCGUACGUCAAAUUAAAAUAUAAAAUCGAUCGCAUUAAUAUAAAUAUUGCACAUAAAAAGAUUUUGCUUGAUCGAAAACAAAACAAGGAAUUGCAAGGUGCACCCAAUAGUAAUUCAGACAAAGGAAUAACAAAAGAUGAAGACGUAACAAAGCCGAAGAUUCCCAAGACGUCCAGGAAAAAAAACAAAGACAAAACCGUAGAAAGUGUCGUGAGAGCUCACAAGACUAUAAAUUACCGCAAGAAUUAUAUAAUCAUAUACAACCAGAGGACUGACGAAGCCGAUGUUUAUUAUUUAAAUAAUACAGGGAUGGUCAUACAACAUUAUCGAACUGAUAAUGGAAGGCAUAGUCUUUUUCAAAGUUCACCAAACACUGCGACCAUACGGUAUUGCUGUUGGUACAAGCGGCAAGAUAUCGUAACUUCGAUGUUGAUGCACGUUCCUGCAAUAUCGGUUAGGUGUAUGGGCGCACCUCACUGGUGCGAAGGACGGUGUACGUGUUGCUGUAAAAAAAUUAUACAAACCUCUAAUGCCAAAGCUAAAACAUCCAAAGGUUUGACUACCGCGAAAAAAGAUCUUGUCUCUGAA